rnacentral:rRNA from 1 species
GCUGGCGGCGUGCUUACACAUGCAAGUCGAACGAGAAAUCUUUAGCUCGCUAGAGAAAGUAAAGUGGCGCACGGGUGAGUAACGCGUGGGUAAUCUGCCUCCGAAUCGGGGAUAACAUUGCGAAAGCGAUGCUAAUACCGGAUAAAAUCUGGUUGGCUUCGGUGAACCGGAUCAAAGGUGGUCUCUUUAUAAAAGCUACCGUUUGGAGAUGAGCUCGCGUACCAUUAGCUAGUUGGUGAGGUAAAGGCUCACCAAGGCGACGAUGGUUAGCUGGUCUGAGAGGAUGAUCAGCCACACCGGAACUGGAACACGGUCCGGACUCCUACGGGAGGCAGCAGUGAGGAAUUUUGCGCAAUGGGGGAAACCCUGACGCAGCAACGCCGCGUGAGUGAUGAAGGCUUUCGGGUCGUAAAGCUCUGUCAGGUGGGAAGAACCCACCAAGUGUUAAGACCACUUGGUGCUGACGGUACCACCGAAGGAAGCACCGGCUAACUCCGUGCCAGCAGCCGCGGUAAUACGGGGGGUGCGAGCGUUAUUCGGAAUCAUUGGGCGUAAAGGGCGCGCAGGCGGUUUUGUAAGUCAGAUGUGAAAUCCCGGGGCUUAACCCCGGAAGUGCAUAUGAAACUAUGAGACUUGAGUAUGGGAGAGGGAAGCGGAAUUCCUGGUGUAGCGGUGAAAUGCGUAGAUAUCAGGAGGAACACCGGUGGCGAAGGCGGCUUCCUGGACCAAUACUGACGCUGAGGCGCGAAGGCGUGGGGAGCGAACCAGGAUUAGAUACCCUGGUAGUCCACGCAGUAAACCGUUGAUCACUACGUGUAGCGGGUAUUGACCCCUGCUGUGCCGGAGUUAACCGCAUUAAGUGAUCCGCCUGGGGAGUACGAUCGGCAAGAUUAAAACUCAANAAGGAANUUGACGGGGGCCCGGCACAAGCGGUUGGAGCAUGUGAUUUAAUUUCGGACGCAACGGCGAAGAACCUUACCUGGACUUGAACAUCUUCGNGGAAUUCCGUUGAAAAGACGGGAGUUGCCUUUAACGGAGGAAUCCGAUGANCCAGGGUGCUGGCAUGGCUGUUCGUUCANGCUCGUGUCGUNGAGAUGUUGGGUUAAGUCCCGCAACGAGCGCAACCCCUAUCUUCAGUUACCAUCAGGUGAUGCUGGGGACUUUGGAGAUACUGCCCCGGUUAACGGGGNAGGAAGGGUGGGGAUGA